UUGAGCAUUUUGCUUUUCUUCCUACUUUAUGCUAAGGCCCAAACGUAGCUUCAAUGACAAAUCUAGGAGCUCUUGGCAUAGUAAUUACAUUUGCGUAAUGACAUCAAUCAACUAGACAAUUCCUGAACAUUAAUAGGUAAGUACAAGUCAAAUGCUCUACAGUACAUGAAGCCAAAAACCAAGGCAGCAAAGUAGAAAUCAAAUACAAUAUAUCAUCUAGAG
rnacentral:lncRNA from 1 species